UAUAUAUGUUUAUGUAUGUAUAAAUGUGUACACACAUAUUUCUCUCUCUCUUUACAUAUAUAUGUAGUAUAACAUAUAUACAUAUGCGUGUGUGUAUA
rnacentral:miRNA from 1 species